UUGGACAUCGUCGGCGAGAGCAACCUCAUCGACAAAUUCUUCUGCUAUCUCGGUGGCAACCAAGGAGGGCAAUUCACACAGUCAGGAUUAUCACAUUGCCCCAAAGGCCCAGACAUCAUCAAGUGUUCAUUCUUUGGAACCUGCCCACUGUCAACCUUUGAGUAUAUGAAACUGUUCUUUUUAAAAGCUUGCACCGUGAUCCUGGUGUGGAGAUUGGAUUGGUUUUGGACAUCGUCGACGAGAUCAACCUCAUCGACACCUUCUUCUGCUAUCUCGGUGGCAACGCACGACAUUAUGGCUAUUGUAGUCCACUUAGAUAUAAUUCAUCGCACAAUGUGGGGUCCAUUCAGGAAGAUUGUUGUCAUGGAUGCCAGGUGGUCUCUACAUGCCAUUAAAGUUUGGGGUGACUUGCUAAACAAAAAUGCACUUCGCUGGGUGUUGGCUAAGGAGAAUUAUAGCAUAAUAAUUGGGACUAUGUUUCGACGAUUUAGAAGGCAAGAGUGCCUCGAGUCAUCUGAUUAUACAACAAUACACUUCAAUCCUUUCCAUCACAAUAACCAUCACUUUGAACCAAUUCAGAAAGCUUUGAUGGCGUGGAAUGAUCAUUAA
rnacentral:misc_RNA from 1 species